UACGAAGGGGGCUAGCGUUGCUCGGAAUCACUGGGCGUAAAGGGUGCGUAGGCGGGUCUUUAAGUCAGGGGGUGAAAUCCUGGAGCUCAACUCCAGAACUGCCUUUGAUACUGAAGAUCUUGAGUUCGGGAGAGGUGAGUGGAACUGCGAGUGUAGAGGUGAAAAUUCGUAGAUAUCGGGGAGGAACACCAGUGGCGAAGGGCGACUCUCUGGACAGAUACUGACGCUGAGAUGCGAAAAGCGUGGGGAGCAAACAGGG
rnacentral:rRNA from 1 species